rnacentral:rRNA from 1 species
UACGUAGGGUGCGAGCGUUAAUCGGAAUUACUGGGCGUAAAGCGUGCGCAGGCGGUUUUGUAAGCCAGAUGUGAAAUCCCCGGGCUUAACCUGGGAAUGGCAUUUGGGACUGCAAGGCUGGAGUUUGGCAGAGGAGACUGGAAUUCCCGGUGUAGCAGUGAAAUGCGUAGAUAUCGGGAGGAAUACCGAUGGCGAAGGCAGGUCUCUGGGCUAUAACUGACGCUCAGGCACGAAAGCGUGGGGAGCAAACAGG